UACGUAGGGGGCAAGCGUUGUCCGGAAUUAUUGGGCGUAAAGAGCUCGUAGGCGGUUUGUCGCGUCUGCUGUGAAAUCCCAAGGCUUAACCCUGGGCCUGCAGUGGGUACGGGCAAACUAGAGUGCGGUAGGGGAGAUCGGAAUUCCUGGUGUAGCGGUGAAAUGCGCAGAUAUCAGGAGGAACACCGGUGGCGAAGGCGGAUCUCUGGGCCGUAACUGACGCUGAGGAGCGAAAGCAUGGGUAGCGAACAGG
rnacentral:rRNA from 1 species